rnacentral:rRNA from 1 species
GGCAUGACUCUCGGCAAUGGAUAUCUCGGCUCUUGCAUCGAUGAAGAGCGCAGCGAAAUGCGAUACGUGGUGCGAAUUGCAGAAUCCCGCGAACCAUCGAGUCUUUGAACGCAAGUUGCGCCCGAGGCCAACCGGCUGAGGGCACGUCCGCCUGGGCGUCAAGC